rnacentral:lncRNA from 1 species
CUUAAAUCUUGGUAAAAGGCAGCGAAUUGAUGCCCGGUGACGCCCAGGUGUGCAGAUCGGACAAGCUCAGGGGAAGCUGUGACCGGGUGGAGAGGAGCGUGGGUCACAGAGCAGGAGGAGGGCUGCUCUCCACGCGGAUGUCCGUUUCCCCAUUUGGAUGCUCCUUUUGUCUUUCCGGAUUUGCUCCUCGUCGUUAACUCCUCCGGCUCCAGGGCCCUGCGGUUGAUUUUGGUCGGAGUCCGUCUAGGGCACAUUCUUUGCCUUCACCCACGGUACAAUGACGUCCAUCCGUUCAUCAACGUCUGUGCGUUUUCAUUCUCAACUAAUUGACCAUGUUACCCACGAAGACUUGGCCUUAAGAGGCGGAGGUAAGAUUCAAGAAGGAAGAAGGGAAGGGCAUGAUGGGAAUGAGAAGACGUGUUUUCUUCUGGAAGGACCUCGGGGAGGCCAUGUGGAUGGAAACGUGCUGUCAAGAGGUGGUCAAGCACAGGGUCUGGAGGGAGACUACCCACAUCUGAUGGCCCACCAGUGCCUAUCUUUGAGAUUCUGGUUCACCAAUUCACUCCCUGGGCCCGUGCACGUAUGUGUGCAUGUAUAUGUACAUGAUGAUGCACACACAAUCCCCAACCAUGAAAGAGGAGCAGUGAUAGUGCUCAUCUCCUGGUGUUACAGUGAAGAGUCAGUGAGACAGUGCAUGGCUAGUACGGCAGGCUUCCUGACACAUAACUCACACUGAUUAAAAUGACAGCUGUCUUGGGCACCUGUGUGGCUCAGGUGGUUAAGUGGCUGCCUUUGGCUCAGGUCGUGGUCCCGGGAUCGAGCCCCUCGACUCCCUGCUCAGCAAGAGUCUGCUUCUCCCUCUCCCUCUGCCUGCUGCUCCCCCCACAUGUGCUCUCUCUCUCUCUCUCUCUCUCUCUCUAUGUGUGCCAAAUAAACAAAUAAAAUCUAAAAAAAAAAAAUAAAAA